AAAUGGAAAUUCUUCGAUUUCUUGUAAGCCGGAGACCAGGGAGAUAUUGAAUUUUGGUGAUAGUAGUAAGAGAAGUGGAAGCUUGUUUUCAGGCCAAUCACAGUUCGGGCCUGGGACCGGGCUCGGGCUCAUGGAGGAGAACAAGAACAAGAACAAUAACAAUAACAAGAAAAGGUCACUUGCAUCAAGGGGAAACAAUGAAGAAGGAAUGCUUUCGUUUGUUUCGGGUGUGAUCUUGCCAACUUCAACAAUGGGGAAGUCUGGUGGAGGUGGGGAUUCGGAUCACUCAGAUCUCGAAGCCUCAGUG
rnacentral:lncRNA from 1 species